AGUGAACGCUGGCGGUAGGCCUAACACAUGCAAGUCGAACGGCAGCACAGUAAGAGCUUGCUCUUACGGGUGGCGAGUGGCGGACGGGUGAGGAAUACAUCGGAAUCUACUUUUUCGUGGGGGAUAACGUAGGGAACCUUAGGUUAAUACCCAUAAGGCCCUACGGGUAAAAGAAGGGAAUUUUCGGCCUUUGGCGAAUGAAAUGGCCCGAUGUCGGAUUAGCUAGUUGGCGGGGUAAAGGCCCACCAAGGCGACGAUCCGUAGCUGGUCUGAGAGGAUGAUCAGCCACACUGGAACUGAGACACGGUCCAGACUCCUACGGGAGGCAGCAGUGGGGAAUAUUGGACAAUGGGCGCAAGCCUGAUCCAGCCAUACCGCGUGGGUGAAGAAGGCCUUCGGGUUGUAAAGCCCUUUUGUUGGGAAAGAAAAGCAGCAGGUUAAUACCCCGCUGUUCUGACGGUACCCAAAGAAUAAGCACCGGCUAACUUCGUG
rnacentral:rRNA from 1 species